UACGUAGGUGACAAGCGUUAUCCGGAAUUACUGGGCGUAAAGCGCACGCAGGUGGCUACUUAAGUCUGACGUGAAAGCUCCUGGCUUAACUGGGAGAGGUCGUUGGAAACUGAGUGGCUUGAGGCGAUGAGAGGGGUAUGGAAUUCCAGGUGUAGUGGUGGAAUGCGUAGAGAUCGGGAGGAACACCAGUGGCGAAAGCGAUACCCUAGCGUUAGCCUGACGCUCAUGUGAGAAAGCGUGGGGAGCGAACAGG
rnacentral:rRNA from 1 species